AUUGAACGCUGGCGGCAGGCCUAACACAUGCAAGUCGAACGGUAACAGGAAGAAGCUUGCUUCUUUGCUGACGAGUGGCGGACGGGUGAGUAAUGUCUGGGAAACUGCCUGAUGGAAGGGGAUAACUACUGGAAACGGCAGCUAAUACCGCAUAACGUCGCAAGACCAAAAAGGGGGACCUUCGGGCCUCUUGCCAUCGGAUGUGCCCAGAUGGGAUUAGCUAGUAGGUGGGGUAACGGCUCACCUAGGCGACGAUCCCUAGCUGGUCUGAGAGGAUGACCAGCCACACUGGAACUGAGACACGGUCCAGACUCCUACGGGAGGCAGCAGUGGGGAAUAUUGCACAAUGGGCGCAAGCCUGAUGCAGCCAUGCCGCGUGUAUGAAGAAGGCCUUCGGGUUGUAAAGUACUUUCAGCGGGGAGGAAGGGAGUAAAGUUAAUACCUUUGCUCAUUGACGUUACCCGCAGAAGAAGCACCGGCUAACUCCGU
rnacentral:rRNA from 1 species